GACGAACGCUGGCGGCGUGCUUAACACAUGCCAGUCGAACGGUGACGCGAGUACUUCCACUCGUGGAUCAGUGGCGAACGGGUGAGUAACACGUGAGUAACCUGCCCAUCUCUCUGGGAUAAGCUCUGGAAACGGUGCCUACUACUGUAUACGACCAGCCCUUGCAUGGGGUGUUGGUGGAAAUCUUUCGCGGUGCUGGUUGGUCUCGCGGUCUAUCAGCUGGUUGGUGGGGUAAUGGCCCACCAAGGCGACGACGGGUAGCCGACCUGAGAGGGUGAACGGCGACACUGGGACUGAGAGACGGAGCAGAGGCGUACGGGAGGCAGCAGUGGGGAAUAUGGCACAAUGGGCGAAAGCCUGAUGCAGCGACGCCGCGCGAGGGAUGACGGCCUUCGGGGUGUAAACAGCUGUAAGCAGAGAAGAAGCGAAAGUGACGGUACCUGAAGAAGAAGCACCGGCUAACUACGUG
rnacentral:rRNA from 1 species